rnacentral:tRNA from 1 species
GCCCCGAUAGCUCAGUUGGCAGAGCGCAUCCUUGGUAAGGAUGAGGUCUCCAGUUCAAUCCUGGAUCGGGGCUCCA